CACAGAUAACACAUAAUCCAGAUGGCUCCUUACGUGUUAAAAAUUGUCACCCCAAUUUCACUCCAAUUUGGAAAAAUAUUGGAGUGACGUUUGAAUAAUCUGAAAUUUUUAGAUUCCUUUUCUAACUUUUUUGGGAGGUUUUGCUUCUCUUGCACAGAUGUCGCUUGCACUUCAGUUGCGUGGUUGCCAAACGUUAUAUCGAAAUAUAUUUCAUUUCAUUAUGAAUAUAUAAAAUUAAAAAUUAUGUAAUUUAUAAACAUGAAAUAGAUAUGGAUGUUAGGUAAUACCGGAUGUUAAAUUAAUAUAUAAAUAUUUAACUUAAUACGUACAUUAUUAUUUUAUUAAUUUAUCGUCACACGUCAUUUACCAGUUGCCUAAUUACGAAAAGUUUCAUAUGAUAUUAACCUCAAAAAUGAUCUUUGAAAACAAACAACAACAAAUAACUCAAAGAAAUAACUACAUACUACAUAAUAAUAACUGAUAAUAAUGACUUUUAAUGGUAUAAAGGCUGAUGAAGUUUUAGACAACCAAUACAAGAUUCAGAACUCGGCAUCGCGAUAAACAAGUAAAAUUGUACAUUCAGGAACUCGUUUAAAUAUUAUAGGUUGAUUGAAGAAUAAUCUACAAUUGAUUAGAGCCUAUGACGAUGCGAAGAUAAUUAAUCACCUAACUUUAAGAAACCAGCCUAAAGAAGUUUACAUGCAUCUCAUCUAACCAUUAUAGGUACAUUUUAUCUUCUAGAUCAGUAGUGAUUUUUCAUAAUUUGAAUGAACUCACAGAUAGCAAUGGGGCACCGCACCGAAGCAGUAUUACAAAAUGUGAAAUAAAACUGUAGUACAUAUUGCUCUAUAAAAUUUAAUAGAAAUAAAUUUAUUUAUGAAAAUUAAUGAAGUUUUAUCUUUCCUAGGAAAAAAAUAACAAUUAUAUUUUGAACAAUUAAUUUAGAACAUUAGAGUUAAAAAAAUAUAUGUGUUAGAAAUUGUAACACAUAUUUUUUUAACUCUAUGUUAUUCUAACUUAGAAUAACAUAUUUUUAAUAAAAUUGCGCUUAUACUUUAUACUUUUUUGCUAUUAUAUCAAUAAGAACUAACGUAAGGAGCAAUUCAUUUAUACUAUAAACACACAUGCAUAUUUUUUGAUCUUUUUAAAACCAGUGAAUAAUGUUGAAAUAUGCUACACCUAUUAAUUCUUAUUAACUAACUUUAUAGCUAGACAGUUGAAAAUUUUACAGAUAAUGUAUCUAUGUUGCCGCUAUAAGAACAAAUACUAAAAACAGAAUUAAAUAAAUGUUUAUAAAUAAAAAAGUACUUUCACUAAACAUUAUCGUUUAAGUAAGAAUUUUACACAGAAUAUUCAAGUCCUCGAGUGGCCGUGUGGUUAAAGGCGUUAGGAUUUGAAGGCGUUGAGACGUAGUGAGGCAGGUUCGAAUCGUAGGCAAGGUGACUUUUUCUUAAUCUUUUUUUUUAUUUUUACAUAUUUUUACAUAUUUAUUUUUACUUAUUUAUUAUUGAUUAAUACAAUUUUUAGCAAUGUAUUUCUUCAUUUUUUUUAAAUUACUUACAAGCGCAUUCAAAAUUUCAGCUAAAUCGGAAAAAAGUUUACAAUAAUAUAAUGUCUGAUGUUGUAUAGAUAAUGUGUGAAUGGUACAUUCAAUGAUAAUGAACCCUUCGUGCGCGAGUCCGACUCGCACUUGGCCAAUUUUUUUUGUUAAUUGAAACGUUUAGAAUUUGAAUAUUCGUUCAAAAAUUUUUUUUUUAAUAAAUUUAUUUAUGAUAAACAAUUUAUUAAUGAAAAUAAUAUGACCGAAUUUCCUGGAAAGUUUUUCAAAUUUGUACAUAUGAAAACCUAGCUUUACCACUUAUCAUAGAAAAUCUCUAUUCCUUCCCUUAUCACGGAAUAAUAAAGGAACGAACCAUAUGCGACAAAGAUAGAAGAUUUAGAUAUGUCGUUACUGUCUUUUGUUUUUAACGGAUAUUUUAAAAGGCGGGUAAUUUACCUUUGACUGUCUUUGAUUAUAACUGUGUGUGAUUAGUGAUAAUAAAAUUAUUAUUAAAAUGUCUGGUAAUAAGUGCCAAUUUUAUAAUUGUGGGAUUUCUCGGAAAUCAGGUGUACAUAUGUUUAAGUUUCCUGCGUCAAGAGAUCCUAAUUUAUGUACAAAGUGGAUAGAAAAUUGUGGUGAGUUCAUUCAUAUAGAAUUUUUUUGCACAUUUUGUAUGUAAAAAUACGGCGUUAAGUUACCUUAGAAAUGGUGAUCGAUGGCUUUUACCAUAUACCGU